CACUGAAAUUCCAGAUCGAUAAGAACGGCCAUAUUUUCGAAUUGAUCUACAUUCCGAUCGCUCUCUGAACAAAUAUUUAUGCGACCAGAAUACGUAUAUAGACAGAACGAUACGCGUCUACUGGUGGAAAAGGUGUUUCGGCGGCUCUUAGGUCCACUACUAACGUUACGUACUCUCGUAUAUCUCGAAUCUAAAGCGUGGGUCGAUCCUAAGCCAAUAUUUUGACACGGGACCACCGUCAUCUUUUCUUCGAGAGCUUGUACAUUGACUAGGAUUCAGUCAUCUCGCGGUUUAUGACAUUAACAUAAGUAGAGUGUAUAUAUCGAACGACAUACACGUGAGAUGAGAAAAGGGGAUAACGGAGCGGUAACUGAGUAAGUUGAAUAAUAACGUUUUGGAUAAUUACUAGACUGCGGAUUUUUAUGCGUUUAUGAGAAAAUAUGAGAGCGUAAAAUUACACAAAAUGCACAUGAUACAAAAAAGAAAAGAAAGAAAAUAUAUAAAAUAUACAAAGUGUAGUGUUUUGUGUAAUAUUGGGUUGGCAACUAAGUGAUUGCGGAUUUUGUCAUUAGGUGGUAUUGAUAAAAAAAUAUGACAUAAAAUAUGAAAGCGCAAAAUUACACAGGAUGCUCAUGAUACAAAAAAAAAAAAAAAAAUAUAUAAAAUAUACAAAGUGUACUGUUUUGUGUAAUAUUGGGUUGGCAACUAAGUGAUUGCGGAUUUUGUCAUUAGGUGGUAUUAACAAAAUCCGCAAUCACUUAGUUGCCAACUCAAUACGUAGUAGAUAAAACAAUUUUCUACCGAGGUUCUAGUUUCUUCGUUAUAUACCCAACGACGCGAAUCUGCAUACAAAUUCGCAGUCUAGUAAUUAUAGUAGAACUUCGUUUAACUAAAUUUGUUAGGGGAUGAACAAUUUAUACGUAUAAUUGGACUUCGUAGAUUUUCCUUACCACGUAUUUAUUAUUUUUCGUUCGUAUAAGGGGAGUUCUCGUUGAGAUAAGUGAAUUCAAUCAGCAGAAAUUCAUUGAUAAAUAAUCGAGUAUUAAUUGGUAUUUCGUUCCACUAAAUGGAAUGCAGAUAAAUGGAGUUCUACUGUAUAUUAUGUAGAAGAUGACAUAUGUCAUGAAUUUCAAUGAUCUUGAUAUAUGUUAUAACGUCGAUACUGUCGAUACACGGAUGCACAUUAAUGCCAAUUCAACGUAUGGUCAGGAUAUCUUGUAACUAGUAACGAAGCGGAAACGGGAUGAUUCUACGUGAUAAAAUAAAUUGAGGAUGUAGAGAAGAAUUUUUUCCUACGAGCUUUUGCUUUCCGAGAAAAUUAGUUUUAAAUAUUUGUUCGGCUAUGUUCCAUCUAAUUUCGUUCGAUUUUUAUUCGUCUUUCGAAGAAAUAGGAAAUAUCGGAUGAUGUUUAAAACAAAGAUUUAUUUAACGUUUAAUGAAACUGAUUAUCAGAAUAAAUUGUCAUCGAUACGAAGAACAGAAUGAGAAACAUUUUCGACAAUUUAUAAGCUAACAAACUUCACUGUAUACUGUCAAUAUGCUAUUUUACAGUGUAUUCUGUUUCAUCCAAUGCGAUAAAUAUAAGCAAAGAUAGCGAUCUAUAGUCUUUAAAUUGUAUGAGUACCAUGCAAGUAUUCAAAGUCAAUUUCCACGACGAUACAGCCUCGUAUAAAAAAUGUCUGUUCUACAUUUUCAAUUUAUUUUGUCAUCAUUCUCAUAUUUUGUCGUCAUGAUUCUCUUGUACGAUUGAACCACGCAAAAUUAUUAAUGAAAUUUUACAAAUCAGCAGAGAUAGUAAAUUUCUUUGAACAAGAAUAACAAGCCAUUUUAUAAAUUGAAAACUAUUUGCUUCUUCGAUAUGAAAUUGAAAAAUUGUACAAGAGUAGUCUACAACCUACAAUUUGUAUCUUGUCAAUUUGCCAAUAUCAUCGUAAAUUAUUCCGCAAGUGGAACCCAAUUGCAUCUACCUGCCGCUAGUCACAAGUCAUUCUGUGCAUUGAAUUGGUCCAAUUAUUUAGACAAAUUGAAACAAAAUCUCGUUAUUUCUUCGACAUGCCAUAUAUAUUGUUAAGAAACGAGUUUGUCGUUUGUUUUUCUUACUUUUACCUUGGUUCGAUUUCAUCGGCGAAAUUAUUUAGCGACUGUGUUCCAUAUGCAAAUGUAUCUACAGCACGGUCGUCAGAUUUUGUAUUUUCCUUCUCGCGGAAAAAUAAAUCUUGGGACUUUACGAGGAUAGAGAACCAUAAAUACGAGACGGAAACUCAGCUAAAACUAGACCAAACAACCGUGCCCCUAGUUAUUUGUUCGGCUGGCUUUAUAUGGUAAAUCACGCGAGGCUUUACUUUCGCGCGUUGUCCCUCGUUUUAUGGAUCAUCUUUUCUCUCUAUUCCAAGCAAUAUAGUACAACUAUCCGGAAGAUUUUUGCUUCCGUGAAAACAUCAGAGAAACGGGUUUAUUUGUUUAUCGUCCAUUGGCAUACAUAUUUACAAAUUUUACGUUGUCAGCUUUUUAUUACAUACGAGUAUAUGUAGUAGUAUGUAUUUAUGUAAAACGAUACGAAUUUUAAAAUGUACUUUGCUUUUGACAUCUUACGUAUAUUUUAUUAUUGUAGGUUUCUGCAUAAUCGUACUCGCCUUAAAUGCACAAACAUUUUCAAUCUAGUUACUACCGUCGUAUAAGGGCAGAAUGAAAGAAUUUGAUUAAAAUUUUUAAAUUAUUUCCCGAUUGAAUUCCUAUUCUUCAAUCACAAAAAAGAAACCAAUAAAAAGAUCGUUACAUAAUAUCGUUAAAAUUUUUUUCAAGAUAUUACACAACCCAGAAACUAGUAUAAAAAGUCUCACGGUGGCUCGAUAAAUGUUUGUAUUGAAAUAUCAAUAUACAAGAAUAAUUAUUCAAUUAUCGUAGAAAUCAAUAAAUAAGUAAAUUCUAACAGUACCAACAACUUCAUUUCCAGAAACGAGAAAUCAGAGUAAAAUAUCGUACAUAUUGAAAUACCAAUACUCUAAAACAAUUAUCUAAUUAUCUCACAAAUAAGAAACACAUAAACCUCUGGAUAUUACAAAAAAAAAUUCCUAUCGUUUCGAAGACCAAAGCUGAUAGAAGCUACGAGAAACGAUUCUACAAGCGUUCCACGGAUAUUUAUUUUGAAAUGCCCACGCAUGAAAGCAAUUAUUCGAGUAUGUUACACAUAAAUUCCAAAGAUGUCCACUCGAAUAACCCCGACAAGUGAAACUACUUACGAAAGGAACUUACGGAUGCUCGAGAAACACCAACAACGCAACGAUGCGAAAAACGAGCGCGCGAGUAGCGUAACAAGUGCAAGCUAAUUAUUUCACGCUGUCGGCGAAAAGCGCAUCGCCGGCGCGGUUCUCGAGCGCGGCACACCGGCGAUAAGGCGGGUUCGCACGAGGGCGGCGCGCGAUAAGCGCGCGGAUUACACGCUGGAUAUUACGCGACGAAUAUUUUACCGCCGCUUUCCCGCUCGAUUUCGUAUGCAAAACGCCGGUUGCCCCCCGCUGUUAGAGCCGUUUGCUCGACCCAUGGCAGCUCGUAGGCCAGGCAGGCUCGUCGUGACUCAGUUUCCGAAGUGUAUUUGAUCGAGAGGGCACACGUGCCGGAUCUGGGGCUGCACAAUGCUCCCGUGUCGACCGAGAAACUCGUUCAGAACCGUCCACGAGCUCGACGAACACGCGUUAUUUCACCCUCCCUAUAAUAGGCGCAAUUUCCCGUGUACAAAAUACACGUGCGCGGUUUUAUAAGGGGCUGCAAGAGUUUUCGCGACAAGGAGCCUGAAUAAAUUUGAGGGAUGUAAAUAUUGACGCGCUCGUGCCACUGUUUUAGUCGUGUCUCUCGUCAGCUGUGCGAAAAUUUUAGGAUUAUGCAACGGGGUUAAAGAAACGAUAAAACAUUGGUGGUGAGAAUUGGGGUAGUUCGACGAGCAAUUGGAAGAAAUACAGCGAUUCGUGGGCCAGAGAGUUUGAUGUACCAAGUUUCUUGGGGGGUUUUUUUGAAGACGCGACAAGUUUGGAAUUUGGAGAUGGUCCGGCUUUGAUUUAAAAUUAAAAUGUAAAACGUUUGCAGGAGAUACUGACAGGAGUUUGAUGGAUCGGGGAAAUUUUACUUUCAUAUCGCAUGGCGGAUACUUGUUGCGAUUUGAUAUUUUUAUUUAUGUAAAGCUGAUCUAGUCGAUAGAUAAACAGUUGUGACGUUUUUCAAAUUUCUAUAAGAGACUAUUAUAUUGUACAAAUUUUUUAAACACGUUCGAAUACGUAAUAUAAAAAUAUUGCGAAUCUUCUAAAAAGAAAGUUAAAUUUUUUCAGGGAUGAAGUUUGUUGAGAUCGGAGAGAGAUAAUUUUUUAUCCUGUUUCUUUUCUUCUAUCCGUCAAAUGUAAUUAUUUAAAACAUAUUUGUAGAUAUUAAACGAGACACGUGACGUUGAAAAGUAUUUUAAGAAAGAAAUAUUGAAUAACACAUACGUAUAUGAUCACUGUAUUCUUGAUAUCUUUUAAAUUCGUGCACGAACUGAACAAAAUUUCAUUUUCCUUAACCUGCUCUAAAUUCAUCAGCUACUUUUCCUUUACAAGCGAAAAUCAGCAACCGAUUAAGACCGACAAAUCGAUCUAACAUCGUCAAAAACCAAUCUUCAUCUACAUCAGCCAGAAAUUCUUUAAUCAAUCUUUAAUUAAUCAUACUUUAAAUAAUUCUUCUAUACAAAAUUACCCUGCCUCCACAAAUAAACCAACAAACUAUCUUGAUACGCGUAUUCCACGUUAAAACCACCCCUAAGUCACUGUUACAGCACCAUAAUCUCAUCGAAUACCCGGUAUCAAUAUGGAAAGAAGGAAAACGAGAAGAUCCCUUCGCUGCAGCCAAUCCCAGGAGCCAAUCGAGGGAUCUUUAAACGACGUCUCAUCCCAGAGUCACCCCCGUGCUCGCUAGGGUAGCGACACGGGACGCGUUUCCCUGGUAGCCGAGCGUGAGCUCGUAAAAAUCUUCUCUUUUAAUCUGCUUUUCGGUCCACAGCGACAUCGACAUCGACAAAGGUGGCCUGACGACGAAGAGCUGAGAGAGCUUGCGCACAAAGCAGGCCGCGCCGGUAUCGUAAUACCACAAAAGCCACACAGCCAGCUCGCGAUAAGUAGCCUCAUACCGAUACAGAUUCGUCGAGGCGUGUUUAACUACAGGGAGGGUUAAAAUCGCUUUGCGACACGUGGCCGUUCACGGGGCAGAGCAUCAUCGCGAAACACAGCCCCUCUCGCCUUCGACUUCACCGGGCUGUUCGACCAUUUUCGUUGUCAUCGUGCGUCGUCUGAACGAUCGGUCCUCCCCGUAAUUAACGUCCCCUUCCCCAUCCCUCUUUCAGCUUCCCGACAACCUCUAAUUACGCUCUUCCGCGAUGAGAGAGCCUUGGAUAGAAGACUGAUUAGAAAUUGAGCCUCGAGAGCUUUUCCACCCCUUUCUUUGAUAAGAGCACGGCCCAGCCACUUUCAACGCUUUACGAUGGAAACUUUUUAGCAUUUAUUCGUCGUUAUAUACUUUGGUUUCCUUUUUCCAAGGGUUCGGGCAGGCGAAAGGUUUCCAGAGACGAUCGAGAAGAAGAUCGAUGUUAACUUUUGCUGGCUAUAUCGGUUUUCCGAGAUCGUGGAAUCGAAUGCUUUUUCUGAUAAGGAUUAAACUAUUUUUAGAGUACUGCUAUCAUAUUGUGGAAACAGAUUAGCUACAAGGACACCCUAUAGAUAUAUAAAUUUAUUUCACCGUCUUCGCAUCCGUCUUCGAGCCGAGUCCCGUUACGGCGAUAGUUUCAAGUGGACUCUCGCAGAAGAGUGUACACGAGUGUCUGCAAGUCUGUAAUCCAAUUACAAGCAGGCUCGUAAGCUGCUCCGUGUAGUCCGAGAAUCGUAUAAGUGCUGUUUGCGCGUAACGUUGAAGCUAACGCAUCGAUAGGAUGAGAGAGAAAGAAAGGGAGAGAGAGAGAGAGAGAGGGCGACGAAUAAUAGGAUCGAACUAAUCACUUGUAAAGUCGUCCGGAGAGGAUUUGUCAUGCUUGCCGAUUUUUUUCGUGAUUCAAGCGCCGUAAAAUCCACCAUCCAGCGAAAACCAAUCGAACGUCUGGAUUAAGCGUACGCUCGAUUAAUUUAAAUACCGCAAAAUUGAUCCACGUUUUAUACUAAAUCGCGUACACUGCAUAUGUAUAUAAAAUAAGCAAACAGAUCGUUAGAGAAGAAGAUCUCAUUCUGAUUCGCGUGAUAUGUCAUUUUGAUCGUUGCAUAAAGAUAGAUAUUCUGUAUUUGCAAAGAUAUUUUCGUUUUUAGCGAGAGAAAUUAAAAAGCGUAUUUUUCAGUCGAAUGUUUUGCACGAAUUGUUUCGUUAAAGACGAGUGCGUUUGUCAUAUCAGUAGUUCGCUGACCAGAAGCAUAAUUUUGAAAAUAAAUUCCUAUACGCGUCAUUCUUUAAUAAAUUUAUAUACGACCAGCCCUUUAUCAAUUCGUAAAAUAUUCAAAAUCACGUGCAGAUUAUUAAAAUCGGGAAUUAUUAUUUUCAUAAACGAUAAAUAUUAUUGCAAUACUUGUUAUUCGAUAUGAAUAAUAAACGAUACGUAGCACGUGGUAUUAUUCCCAUAAACUGUAAAAGGUAAAAUACUUGUUAUAACACGCAAUAGACGCAAGAAAAUUUAAGUCCUAUCUUUUUCAUAAAAAUAUCGAAAUAUUUCAAAGAAAACUAUCUAUUUACGUCUUACUUUCUUUUCACCGUCUAGCCAUUACGUGUUUUGCACCUUUCCUCGCACUUUUUUUCUUCGAUUAACGUUAACACCAAUUACCAAUCCUAUGUAAAAUAAUCACAUUGCAAUGCGCAAGCAUAACGUACGAUGAAUGUGCGUGGAAAAUAAUAGCACGGAAUAACGUAGAGCAAAAAUAGUAGAACGUACAAAUAAUAAACAGAGCUUCCUUGUACGUAUGUUCUAAAAUCCUCGUAUCGAUAUCUCCAUUAAUUUAAAAGACACAAUGCGGUAAAUGAUACAAAGAGAGACUUUGAUACACUCGUUUCUCCUCCAUUCCCAUAAAUUCCAGCCAACGGGCUCACGAGCGCGCACGCGAUAAUUCAAUUCCACAGAAAUCGAACAACGAUUCACUUUGAUAAUUACAGACGUUACGAAAGAGCACGUCGAACAUGACAGGGGAAUGGAAGGUAGCAAGUCGAAAGGCUGUUCGUCAAAAUGUGGCUGCACCAGGGGGCAAGCUAUAUUUCACGUAAAGAUGCGUUUCUGACAGAAUUAAUUAGAGCGGGACCGCACGCUGCGUACUUUGGGAAAAAAGUAGUAAACGAAAACGAAAGAAGCAGAGAGAGAGAGAGAGGGAGGCGGAAGAAUUGGAAUUCCUGGUCGGGGGGUGGCGGACGUUCGAGCGACGAUGGGGGGUGCUUUUCAGUCGCAGCACGACGAAACAAAAGCCCAAGCCAUCGGAGAGGACUGAUUAAUGAGAGACGUGCGUGCAGAGAACGACGACAAUUAUGCGACUCGGGAUACAAACUGCCCACGCGUCGUCUCAUUGUCAAUGGAGGAGCGUGUGUAUUCUCUCCUCUCUCUUUUUCUAUCUUUUAACUCUCUCACACUCAUUUUUCAAGGAGAAAAUAAUCGUGAGACUGGCAUCCAUCGACGGUGGCCUGUCAUUCAUGAACACGCGUGACUAAACGAGACUUCCUCUGCUCGCUGCGAUUUUUUAAACUCUCUGGAAUGACGCAUGGAUUUCAGAUUCUUUUAUCGCCGAUAAAAUGUAUCAAAUAUAGGAAAUUCGUCCGUGGCUUUAUCACGUAGUACGUGAAUAUUUGGUCCUCGUUUUUCAGAGGAUAACGAGGAAGAAAUUAAAGACGUUCUUGACGAGGCAGAUAAGGCUUGUAACGUUUUAAUAUCUCUGGGAUUGCAGAUUGUUGUGAAUUCUUUGUGCUGUUACGAUCGACGAAGAAAAUAAUGGAAACUAUUGGAGGAAAUGAAGAAAAGAGAUGUUACAAUUUCUUGGCGACGUAUGGAUGAUGGUGUUCUAAUAAAUCAUGUUUCGAUAAAAUCUGAUAGGUUUUUAUGCCAAGCUUUGAAAAUUUCCAUUGGUCUAGUAUCAACAAGUACAAAAUUUGUAUCGCGCGUUUAUCUUCGAUAAAAUUAUAUCCUGUGUAUUACAAUAUACCUAUAAAUAUUAGCCGUAUCUAUAGUAAUAAACAUUGCUGACUGAAUAUCGAUUUGACUGUAAUUUAUGUAAAUUUCGUGUCAGAUUUCUAUCGUGAAAUAUUAGAAACGUUUAUAGCUCGGCGUAGCUAUAAAUCAUAUCAAUGGGAAAAUAACAAAAGGUACAGAUCUAUUUUUUAUUCGUAAUUAUGCACAUUAUCUUCGAUAGAAAUUCUGCAUACGAGGAUCGUAAAAAUCCAUCGAAAAGAAUAAAACCUCAUGAACAAAAUCCACAGUCCUUUCACUAGUAGCUAGUUAUGUUCAAUUUCCCUUCACUCGUACAGUUGCAUGUUUGAAAUAUCUGUUACUCUCGGCAGAAGAAUUAGUAAAUUUCAAUAUUUGGCGAUUUAAACGUUUCACUUGCCAUAGAGAAUUGCUGGAAAAUUGGAGAUACAGAGAUAGAAGUAACUGUUACGCGGAACACGCAUCUCCUGUGUUUAAAACCAUAAAUACAUCCUUUAUAAUCGAUGCAAAUUUAAUAUUAAUUCGCAAGUUUCGCGAGACAGGAAAAAGAUGCCAUUCCACAAACAGACAUUUUUUUUAAUAGAAAACACUGGCCACAGAGAGAUGUCUACGUUUGAAAUGUAUUUCUCAAAGUUUUCUUAUAAUCCGGACGACCGUAGUAGCGAAACCCAGGCACAGGACAAUGGCGUGUCUGGUAUAAUACCAGACAGAGAAUAAUUUAAAUACGUGAAACGGUAUUCAGCCGGGACUCGAGGCUAGUUGCACCUUCUGUUCGCGGAAGGAGAAGAAUCCGAGAUUAUACGGAAUAGAGGGAUGCUAUCAUCGAGAAUUUCGGCCGGUGGAAUGGACGUAGCUCGCUAGAAUUUACAUAAUUCAAUUCCCAACCGACGGAAGCUCGAAUUGACGAUCUUAUCGCGUAGCUUCUCGGCCGAAGCUCGCCUUAAAGUGGCUGUCUAAGAAUUAUGUAUCUAUUCGUCUAUCGAGUCAGCCGAUUUCUCGUGAGAAGCUAACGUCCAGGCUUAUGGCAACGUAAUUUUCAACGAACCUGAAAUUGUUUACUAGAAGCUAUCGCGUUGUAUAAUUUCUUCGAAGAAAUCAAAUUUCCAUUGGAAUAGGAAAUGAAAGUCGUCGUCGAAACCGCGACUAACAACAAUAACAAAGGAUUUUUUGAAGAAGAUCGUCGUUCGUAUCAAGGCACGACCAAGUUGUAAUCUCAAGAAUAAUAGUAACAAAGAAAAAUCACCUGACAAAGGAGCGCGUCAUCGUUGAUCGCAGAAGACAGAUCAUGAAUAGAUAACAGAUAGAUGAAUAGAUAAUUCAGCAUAAGAAUCAACUUGAGAGACGAUUUAUAGGACAAUGAAUCGAUACAAAACUUACUGCACUGCUUGAAACAUAUCGAAUUUUACAACAAAUUAUAAACUUCGUCCUUGAGUCACUAGAAACUUAAAAAAAAAAAAAAAUAAAAAAUAAAAAUGGUCCCUGUAACGUUCAAGAAUCAAAAUAAAGAAAAAAAUUCCAGUAAAUCCGAGGUAGACACCUAGUUAAAUAUUUGUAUAAAAAUUUGUCUUACAUGAUUUUUUCAUAACAAAUAAUAAAGAAGAAAUUUUCUUGUUACCAACGUUAUAUCGUUUUCUUCGUUUAUUCUUAAUUUGCAUUUUAUUGAAAUCUUGCUAUCUUGCAAUUGAUAAUAUUCUUAUUACCGACAUAAUCAAUUUUUAUGAUUCAGACUGUUUUAUUUUAUUUUAUUAAACGAGCUCGUACAAGGUAAAACGACUGUGCGAUUAUAUGAUAAGUAGGAUGAAAUUAUGGUACAACAAAUUGCUUGAUUGGAACGUUCGUCGAGGGUUAAUCAUAAUAAGAGACUCAUUUUCGAAUUAUGCUAUUUGCACAUCUCUAUACGAAGUGUAUCUUCUGCUCCGCUAUUUCUACAACGAUCAAAGGAAUUUAUUCAACGGGAGAUAAAAGAUGUAAUAAAUAAAAAUGACAGGAAUUUCUUAUUUCUAAUUUUGCCUUUCGCGCGACCACGAAUACCGUGGAUGUUGAACGAUAAGUAAUAAAAUGUAAUAAAGGAGUUUAUUUCGUGCACCAUACAAUACAGUGCGUUACCGAUCUCCGCGUGGCCACGAGCCAAAUAAUCAGAGCGUGACAGUUAAAACAGAAAGAAGAUUAGAAGUACGUGAGUACAGGUGUCAGCACGAGACAAGCGCCAAUAACCGGAUACCAAUACCAAUAAAAUAAAUGUUCGAUAAUCCAAAAUUAAAAUUGGUCAGGAAAUAUAUCGGGUUGGCAACUAGGUGAUUGCGGAUUUUGCCAUUAGAUGGUAUUGACAAAGUCCGCAAUCACUUAGUUGCCAGCCCAAUGGAAACGUACCGAACUCUCAAAUUUGAAAAGCUAGAUAUGAAAUUUCGUAUACUUUUCUAAUAACAACGUAAAUCUUACCUUGAGAUUCAUUAUCAUCGCAUAAAUUUUCAAUGAGGAAUGAUUGUCCUAUUCCUACGGUCUACAUAGAAAUUCUAUUGGGUUGUUCGGAAAGUCGGUACGUAACGAAAUUCAAGAAAAGUUUAAAAGCAAUCUAUACUUUCAAAGAAUUAGCAUUUUAUUGAAUGAUGUAUGUGCCAUUUCUGUCGUGACAUUUUACUAUCUAUCGUGAGCUUCGCGAGUUCUCCUUUAAAACACUCCUUUGGUAAUAAAUUAUACGAAGUAGUUUCCUAGUUUAGACUCUAGCAACCGCAAUUUUCUCAAAUCAAAAAUUUGUAUCCUUGUUUCCUUGAACCUUUCACUUUGUCGUUUAUUACAAUUUCACGUUUCUUUACUUUUAUUAAAUAUUUAAUACGAGAUAUAUUUUUUAUGCCGACAUUUCUACACAAAUUUUCACACUCAGAAAUGGAACAAUCAACACGGCCAAAAAGUGAUAAUCACGCGAGAUAACAACAGGUAGGAAUUGGAUCGUGCAAUUGUCGUAUGAUAAAUGUAGAAUGGAAACAUUACGGACAGGGAGCUGUCAGCAUAUCGUAGGUAAUAUAUCUCGCGCAAGAUAAAAUGCAAACUUUCGUGGUAUAUUUACGUCGCCAUCCUACUCUAAUCUAACGUAGAUAUUAUCGCUUAAGGAGAAAUUAUCCCAGAAACGCGAAGAGAUACUCUCUUUAAUGAGAAGGGGAAAACAUGGGUGUAACAAAUGCGUUUAAUUUCUUGUCUGUCAAAGGACAAAUCGUUUGAAAUGAUCAAAUUCGUGCAAGACUGUAAAAUGUAAUAAUAAUUUUCAAAGAAAAAAAUAAUACCUUUUGUCCAAAAGAAAAAGGAAAUCUAUUUUUUUUUUUUUUUUUUUUUUUUUGGAAGCUUGUUACAUUAUAAUUCUGAUGAAAUAAUAAUUAAUUAACUAUACCUGGAUAAACGUUUAAUUAGAACACGAUCAAUUCAUUCAGUCAUUAUACGGACUUUCAAACAGACGCGUUUCGAGCUAAGUGUUUUACAAAUUUCGAUACUGAUAUUUUAUUCAAUUAUACUCGUACACAGCUUGUUAAGACAUUUCGAUCCUGAUAUUCUAUCAAUUUCUGUACAAUUCGUUUUGCCAAAUGAAAAAAAAAAAAGAGAGAAAAAGAA